GAUGAAGAAUUCCCUCCACUGCAACUGUUACGGCCAUAUAUAUCACUCUACUACAGAUGGCUGUAGGAGCCUUUGUACUUAGUACUAGCUAGCUAUAUUUUUUUAACCCUAGACUUAGGUUUUUGUCAAGCUGUGAUUAUGCAAACAAUCCAUUAGUUAUAAGCUAUAAUAGCUUGUAUAUGGUAGACAAUUUCCAAGAUUGUAAAGGUGUUAAGUGAUUAGUAAAGAAGUUGAGGCUAAC
rnacentral:lncRNA from 1 species